GAACUUUGCAUGCCUCAGGUACAACCAAAAAAAAUUUUUAUUUAAAAAUAAAAUUCUCUCCCUUGUCCUAAUAUUAUUCCCAUGUUUACAUACUGUUAGAAUAAAGAGCAAAAUUUUAUUAACAUAUACAGUCAAAUGAUAAUCUUGGAGUUUUUGUUUGCUUGUUCAAUAUCAUUACUUUGUGUUUUGGAAGUCCUCGAUACCACUUACACAUUCUAUGAUUCUCUAGAAGGACUCAACAGGACUUAGUAUACUGUCAUACUCAUAACUAAGAUAUAUUACAGUGACAUGGUAAAGAUACAGAGCUAGAUCAUUAAUGUAAAAGAUGCCAGAUGGAUCUAAAUAGAUCCAUGUUCAGAUUUCCUAUACUCUUUCCCUCCUCUUCACUCAAUAGGAGUUCCUGUCAUGGCUCAGUGGAAAUGAAUCUGACUAGCAUCCAUGAGGAUGUGGGUUAGAUCCCUGACCUUGAAAAGUGUGUUAAAGAUCCGGUGUUGCCAUGAGUUUUGGUAUAGAUCACAGACACGGUUCAGAUCUGGUGUUCCUGUGGCUGUGGUGCAGGCCAGUGGCUACAGCUCCAAUUUGACCCCAUUUCUGGGAACUUCCAUAUGCCACGGGUGCAGCCCUAAAAAGACAAAAAAAAAAAAAUCAUUAAAAAAAACUGCACUCAACAAACAAAAAGCACCUUCUGUCAACAAAAAUUUUAGAUUCUCAGAAGGAAAGUAAUUAUUCACCAUAAAUCUCACUGUGUAGUCUAAGUAGGCUGGCACAGUACUUAGAAAUUACCACUUAGGAAAUGUUUUUGAAUAUUAAUUUUCAGCCAGUGGUAAGCAACUAAAAAUGUCUGUAAUUUAAUCUCUUUUUGGCGUGGAAAAAACCUUUACUGACAGCAACAAUUAUCCUAAAGAAGGGAAAGGGAAGUAUUUUUUGUAUAUCUCAAGAAUAGGCGAAGAAAGGAGCUCCCGUUGUAUAUCCAGGCUUUACCAUGAAUUUUAGGUGGUGCCAGACUUGCCGAUUAUUUUUUUCAGCAACUUUCUUUAUAUAGAAGUGGAAGAAAGCGUUGGCGAAAUCCAAGAUUAAGAGAUUAUAGAGUAGUUGAGAGUAGAAGAAUUUCUGGUUAGGUAGCCAGAAAGUAAUACAAAAGCUAUUGAAAUUAUGUGCUUUGAGAUAUAAGCUAAAAUCAGAUAAAAGUAGUGUAGGAGUCUAAUAGAUUAAGAAUAAAAAGAGUAUGUAUGGCUGAAGUGUUCAUGAAGUGAGAGAAGCACAUACAGAAAAGCAGAAGAAUGUGAGAAUUCAAAAGAAUGGUUAUUGUCAAUGAGUAAAUAUUAAUGUUUAGGAUCUUCUGUCUUCAUAAUGAGUCGUGAAAGUGGGUAGCUGGAAUGAGAUUGAAAAAUUCCAGAAACUCUUUUUAACACUAGAGCAGUUCUCCUAGAAUGGUGGAAGAGCAUUUAGAGAGACUGUUGUGAAAGGAAGAGCAAAAUUCUUGAAUGUGAGGAAAUGACUAGUAUCUUGGGAGAAAACUGUUUUGAGGAAUGACUGUUAUAAUUGAAUUCCUUGUGGAUAGCCUUUUGCUUAAGUUUAAAGGAGUAAUGGCCCAGAUUGCAAUGAUGAAACAAUAUCAUACUUAUCUUUUUGUUCUACCGCAUCUAAUUCCAUCACCCAUUCCUUAGUAGGUUGAUAGGACACUAGAGAGCUUCAUAUGAGGGUAUUUCAGAGAUAUCUGUAUCCUCAGAAGACAACAUAGUUAUUCCCAUUUUAAUGUGAGAUGCCGGGCUUGGUGAAAUUCAGACUUACUAGCCGUUAUAUUACUUAUAGUACAAUGAAAAAAGAGUUCUAACACCUGAUCUUAUUCAUUAUAUUUUUUAAAGUCAACUUUUUUCUGAAAUAUUUUUGUGAGAAUAAUGCAUACUUUUUGACGUUUUUAAAAUUUUAUGGAACAUUAUUGUUUUUUAAAUUAUAGAAUUAUCAAAUGUACUAAGUGUAAAUCACUAAUUUGUCCUCAUCUAUCUACUCCCAGAAAUGAGGUUGAACUUUGAAAAGUUCAAUCAAACUAGGUAUUCCUCAUUUAGAAUCUUUAGUAAUAAGAUGACAUAUACAAGUUAUCAGACAUCUUGUGUGAAGAUAAAUACAAAUACCAUUUCUACCACUUCCAAGAUUUUCAGCCUGGAUGAAUGGAAGAUUGAUGAUGCAACCACAGAAAUAGAGGAUGCUGAUUUUGGUAAAGGAAGUUAUUAUUUGAUUUGAUUUAGAUAUUUUGAUUUCAAGUAUUUAGAAGAUCACUGGGGAAGAUGUUCAGCAGGCUAUUGAAUUAUGGAUCUUUGAAGUAAAGUACUAGUUGGAAAUACAAAUUUGGGAGUCAUCUCUGUAGAGAUGAUACUUGGAGUGAUAGGAAAAGGAGU
rnacentral:lncRNA from 9 species